GGCGCUGACGCGGGAGGGCGGGCAGGGCCGUGGGGCGCGCGCGGGAAGGGACUUGUGGGAAGGAAGGGAGCGGAAAGGCCGAGCGCCACCCGCCCCGGGAGUCUCCAGAGCAGCGCGCGGGGCAGACCUCCUCGGGUCCUCCGGCGCUUCGGUCUCCGGAGACGCCCGGCCUCCUGAAGGGUUCGGCUUGUCCUCCUCUGGCGCUCAGCUCCCUCUGGCGGCCGGGCUGGCAGGACCUCAGCGCCCAGCCCUUCCGUCUUGUUACGUCCAGGGUCUCACUCUGUGUCUCAGGCUGGAGUACAGUGGUGCAAUUGUAGAUGGCUGCAGCCCUCGACCUCCUGGGCUCAAGUGAUCCUCCUGCCUUAGCCUCUCGAGUAGCUGGGAGUACAGAUGCACACCACCACACCCAGCCUAGAAUGAAGAAACCUGCAGUUGGGAAGCAUGAAUUUACCACCUAUUAAGGUAGGAACAUCUUUGUCUUGUUUUGUUUUUCCAAGAGGCUUAUCCUUGCCCUAGGUAUUCACAUGUUAUUUUACAAAGGAAGGAAGGAUCAACUCUUCCAGGGAGAGGACAGGCUUAAGGAGAACCCCAGAGAAUCUUGGAUUGCUAGAUCUUAGUGGCAAUCACAGCACUUUGAAAAUGAACUCAACAUAACCAUAUUUCUUUUAUUUCUGAACAAAACGUUUUCUGCCUUAUAUAAAGAGGUUAAAAAAAAGUUUGUUUUAAAUUAGCAUCGAUUUUCUGAAUUAAAAGUGAAUGCAUCUGAUCAUAAUGUUUCCUGCUCUCCUCUCAAAUAGUUAAAACAUGACUGGGUGCGGUGGCUCACACCUGUAAUCCUAGCACUUUGGGAGGCUGAGGUGGGUGGAUCACCUGAGGUUGGGAGUUCGAGACCAACCUAACCAACAUGGAGAAACCCUGUCUCUACUGAAAAAAAAAUACAAAAUUAGCCGGGUGUUGUGGUGCAUACCUGUAAUCCCAGCUACUCAGGAGGCUGAGGCAGGAGAAUCGCUUGAACCCGGGAGGUGGAAGUUGCAGUGAGUUGAGAUCGCGCCAUUGCACUCCAGCCUGGGCAACAAGAGCAAAACUCCAUCUCAAAAAAAAAAAAAAAAAAAGAAAGAAAAAGAAAGUUAAAACAGAAAUCUAUAAACUACCAUUUUGGAGAAGUUUUAAUAUUGAACUUUGAUUCAUAAAACUCAGCUUAUUCUCUCAUUCUUGCAUCUAGGAGUGACCCCUUCUUCCUCCUCCCCAACACAUGAAGCUUCUGUGAUAUUUCGAACUUUGACCAUGACUCAUGAUGAGAAAUACAUUUUAUAUCAUGACCCAGUAUAUAUAAAAUACAUGUAACUACGUAUAUACAUACAUGAAACACAAGUUUCACAGGACAAAAUUCACAUCGUGUAAUACCACAUUGUUUUCUAUUCUAGUAAAAAAAAGAAUGCUAGUCAGACCCACAAAAUUGAUUUCAUGGCCCACUAAUGAAUUGGGACUAACAGUGUGAUAAAACACUAUCAAGAUUUUAAGGCCGGGCGCGGUGGCUCACGCCUGUAAUCCCAGCACU
rnacentral:lncRNA from 1 species